AACGAACGCUGGCGGCAUGCCUAACACAUGCAAGUCGAACGAGACCUUCGGGUCUAGUGGCGCACGGGUGCGUAACGCGUGGGAACCUGCCCUUAGGUUCGGAAUAACUCCCCGAAAGGGGUGCUAAUACCGGAUAAUGUCUUCGGACCAAAGAUUUAUCGCCUUUGGAUGGGCCCGCGUUGGAUUAGCUAGUUGGUAGGGUAAAAGCCUACCAAGGCGACGAUCCAUAGCUGGUCUGAGAGGAUGGUCAGCCACACUGGGACUGAGACACGGCCCAGACUCCUACGGGAGGCAGCAGUGGGGAAUAUUGGACAAUGGGCGAAAGCCUGAUCCAGCAAUGCCGCGUGAGUGAUGAAGGCCUUAGGGUUGUAAAGCUCUUUUACCCGGGAUGAUAAUGACAGUACCGGGAGAAUAAGCUCCGGUUAACUCCGUG
rnacentral:rRNA from 1 species